rnacentral:rRNA from 1 species
GACGAACGCUGGCGGCGUGCCUAAUACAUGCAAGUCGAACGCAGUGGGGACGGGUGAGUAACAAGUGGGUAACCUCCCAUCAGAGGGGAUAACACUUGGAAACAGGUGCUAAACCGCUACUGAUGUAUGGACCAGCGGGGCAUUAGCUAGUUGGUGAGGUAAAGGCUCACCAAGGCCACGAUGCAGAGCCGGCGUGGGAGGGGGAUCGGCCACCCUGGGACUUGAACAAGUCCCAGACUCCUACGGGAGGCAGCAGUAGGGAAACUUCGGCAAUUGACGAAAGUCUGACCGAGCAAAGCCGCGUGGGUGAAGAAGGUUUUCGGAUCGUAAAGCUCUGUUGUUAAGGAAGCGGUACUUAACCAGAAAGGGACGGCUAACUACGUGCCAGCAGCCGCGGUAAUUC